CAGUCGCCGCGGUAAUACGUAGGGUGCAAGCGUUGUCCGGAAUUAUUGGGCGUAAAGAGCUCGUAGGCGGUUUGUCGCGUCUGCUGUGAAAUCUGGGGGCUCAACCCCCAGCCUGCAGUGGGUACGGGCAGACUAGAGUGCGGUAGGGGAGAUUGGAAUUCCUGGUGUAGCGGUGGAAUGCGCAGAUAUCAGGAGGAACACCGAUGGCGAAGGCAGAUCUCUGGGCCGUAACUGACGCUGAGGAGCGAAAGCAUGGGGAGCGAACAGGAUUAGAUACCCCCGUAGUCCCUGUCUCUUAUAU
rnacentral:rRNA from 1 species